AUUGAACGCUGGCGGCAUGCUUUACACAUGCAAGUCGAACGGCAGCGAGGAGAAGCUUGCUUCUCUGUCGGCGAGUGGCGAACGGGUGAGUAUAGCAUCGGAACGUGCCAAGUAGUGGGGGAUAACCAAACGAAAGUUUGGCUAAUACCGCGCAAGCUCUAAGGAGGAAAGUAGGGGACCUAAAUAAGGCCUUACGCUAUUUGAUCGGCCGAUGUCGGAUUAGCUAGUUGGUGGGGUAAUGGCUCACCAAGGCAAUGAUCCGUAGCGGGUCUGAGAGGACGAUCCGCCACACUGGGACUGAGACACGGCCCAGACUCCUACGGGAGGCAGCAGUGGGGAAUUUUGGACAAUGGGGGAAACCCUGAUCCAGCCAUGCCGCGUGUAUGAAGAAGGCCUUAGGGUUGUAAAGUACUUUUGUUAGGGAAGAAAAGCUAGUUUUUAAUAAAAAUUAGUGAUGACGGUACCUAAAGAAUAAGCACCGGCUAACUACGUG
rnacentral:rRNA from 1 species